rnacentral:lncRNA from 1 species
GUGAUGAUGAUUGCAUAAAGAUACUAAAAAAUUGCAAGAAUGCAAUAUCAAGAAAAGGGAAAGGAGGAAAAGUGAUCAUCAUAGAUGUAGUAAUAAAUGAAAAAGAAGAUGAGCAUGAAAUGACAGAAGUGAAACUUUUACUUGAUGUGACUAUGAUGACCAGUCUCAAUGGAAAAGAGAGAAAUGAAAAGGAAUGGAAGCAACUUUUCUUACAAGCUGGCUUCAAAUCUUAUAAGAUAUUCCCCGCAUUUGGUUUUAGGUCUCUAAUUGAGCUUUAUCCGUAAGCCGUUCUGUAAUUUACUAAUUAAUUGUAAUUUUGCUUGUGUAACAAUUGUUGUUAAUCACAAGUGGUUGAUGGUUGAUGUGGUCGGUGUGUGAGUGUUGUAAACUCGGAAUAACAAGCUAGUUUGAUUCUUACUGAUAAGAAAAAUAUAUAGUUGUAAAGGAGCAGCUCGUAUUUAACUUAGGUGAUAUAGGUAGCCCUUUUGCAGUGGAAUAAGAAACAAGAAUAAGUAUACUUGGGUCAGAUUGAUUUCUUAAGUUAAUAUGCAAAUAGUAUUGUAUUUCCUUGCACAAAUUGUUAUAGCAGACUUUGAUGUAGCAACUUGAUAUUUGGUAGUAAAACAUGUUUUAUUAAAUAAAGUUGAAUUGAAUUAUCAACAUGCUAUCCAAAUAUAGGCAUAAUUUCACGCAUUUGUUGCAUUUCCAUGUCCAAGAGUAGGAAAUGCAACAAACAGUAUGGAUUUCACGCAUCUCGUGUGAAGAUGAAGGCAAUAAGCACUUUACCUACAUUACGAGUAUUAGGGGAACAAUAAAUGAUUAUAGGCAUAAUUACAUGGCACAUGUACUAUGUACUGUCCACAAAUUUAGUUGAAUUGGCAGAAAUGUCGAAAUUGUUAAUGUGUAUCAUGACAGGAGUUCGAACCCAGACCCUUCCACUUUGUAUGUGUGAGUUUUCAAUGACUUUUGUCAUUUCGUCUAUCUACAAAAAAAAAACAUAUAUGACAUAUGUACUAUGUGAUGAAAGUUUAUUAGGUCUAUGUUGGCCGCCUGACCUCUUUGAUGCUAAUGACGACCGUCUGACUCAUGAAAUAUUUUAGUAAUGUGCUUGUGUAUCUUUUGGGUCCGACAAUCACUAUUUAUCGAGCUUUAUAAUUAUUGUCAUGAACAAUAACCUUUACGGCACUUAUAUUUAUAUUUAUGUGAUAAGAAAAAAUCUGGACAAUCAUGAUCACGUUUACAUGGAAUGAUAACUGUAAUGAAAAAAGAGAAAAAACAAUGUUAUUAAAAUGCGAUAAAAUAUUGUAUACGAAGGAAAGAAGGAGAUUUAAAAAGGAGAUAAAAAUUGCUUACGAGCUGACAUUUGCGUUGAAACAAUAAAUAGGGAAAGAAGGAUUAUCAUAACAUAAACACACUUGAAACUUUUAUCCAUAUUUUUCACUCUUUGCAAGUAUCAAAUAGAAUUUAUUGUAUCACUUUUAUUUAUAAAGUUCAUGUUUUCUUUAUAUCAAUU